UACGUAGGGGGCAAGCGUUGUCCGGAUUUAUUGGGCGUAAAGAGCGUGUAGGCGGCUUGGAAGGUCAGCCUGUGAAAACUCGAGGCUCAACCUCGAGACGUCGGUGGAAACUGCAAAGCUAGAGUCCGGAAGAGGAGAGUGGAAUUCCUGGUGUAGCGGUGAAAUGCGCAGAUAUCAGGAAGAACACCCCGUGGCGAAGGCGGCUCUCUGGGACGGUACUGACGCUGAGACGCGAAAGCGUGGGGAGCGAACAGG
rnacentral:rRNA from 1 species